rnacentral:rRNA from 13 species
AGACUAAUCGAACCAUCUAGUAGCCGGUUCCCUCCGA